rfam:Clostridium sp. CAG:127 genomic scaffold, scf111
UAUAGGAGGCGCAUAUGUGCGAAGCACAUAUUCAGGAUGCGCCGACGACAUGCCGCCGAACGAAUGUGAGGGGGCAACACCACAA